GUGUAUACAAAAGUGUGUACAAACAUAGGAUGGGAAGCAACAUGAAGGUGUUCUGUUUCUUUCAUGUAUUGUAAUCAACAGAAAGAUAUUGUUUUGACCCACGAACUACAAAGCGGAGAGGAAGCAGGACCAGACUCUCCGAUAGGUAGGUAGGUCGUCGGUCGGUCGGUAAGUAGGUAGGUUAUCGGUUGGUAGGUAUGUCGCCGGUCAGUCGGUCGGUCGGUAGGUAUGUCCUUCGUCGGUCGGUCUGUAGGUAGGUAGGUCGUCGGUCGGUCGGUCAGUAGGUAGAUAGGUCGGUAGGUAGGUAGAUAGGUAGGUAGGUUGUGGGUCGGUCGGUAGGUACUGUAGGUAGGUCGUCGGUCGGUCGGUAGGUAGGUGGGUAGGUUGUCGGUCAGUCGGUCGGUAGGUAGGUAGGACGUCGGUCAGUCGGUCGGCCGGUAGGUAGGACGUCGGUCAGUCGGUCGGUCGGUUGGUCAGUCGUUAAGUAGGUAGGUAGGUAGGUAGGUCGUCGGUCGGUCGGUCGGUAGGUGGGUCGUCGGUUGGUAGGUCGGUAGGAAGAUAAUAAUAACUGGGAUUUAUAUAGCGCUUUUCUAAGUACCUAAAGUCGCUUUACAUGUAGAACCCAUCAAACAUUCACACCUGGUGGUGGUAAGCUACUUUCAUAGCCACAGCUGCCCUGGGGUAGACUGACGGAAGCGUGGCUGCAAUUUGCGCCAACGGCCCCUCCGACCACCACCUAUCAUUCAAUUCACCGGUGUGAGUGGCACCGGGGGCAAAGGGUGAAGUGUCCCGCCCAAGGACACAACGGCAGCGAUUUUUGGAUGGUAAGAGGCGGGGAGCAAACCUGCAACCCUCAGGUUUCUGGCACGGUUGCUCUACCCACUACGCCAUGCCGCCCCAUAUAGGUAGGUAGGUAGGUAGGUAGGUAGGUAGGUAGGUUGUCGGUCGGUAGGUAGGUACGUAGGUAGGUCGUCAGUCGAUUGGUCGGUCGGUCGGUAGAUAUGUAGGUAGAUAGGUCGGUAGGUAGGUAGGUAGAUAGGUAGGCAGGUAGGAUAUCGGUCGGUCGGUAGGUAGGUAGGUCGUCGGUCAGUCGGUUGGUAGGUAGGCAGGUAGGUAGGUUGUCGGUCGGUCAGUCAGUCGGUAGGUAGGACGUCGGUCAGUCGGUCGGUUGGUCGAUCGGUUGGUCAGUCGUUAAGUAAGUAGGUAGGUCGGUAGGUAGGUAGGUCGUCGGUCGGUCGGUCGGUAGGUAGGUC